rnacentral:lncRNA from 1 species
UCGGUUCGCGGUAUUUAUCUCGGAAAUUUGCUGAAAUUAUAAAAAAUAAUAAGUUUCAAAAUUUAUUAAUAUAAUAAAUAUAUAUAUAUACAUAUACGUACCUUUCCUUUUUCCGAACGAUGUUGUCUCAAUUUAUUCAGAAAUUGUGGUUUGCUGACAUAUGGUGGAAGAGUCGCUAAAAUGUCUUCUUCUCUCAUAUCAGGAUCAGAGCCAUAAGUUUUAACCAAAGAAUUAUGGUUGCUCCUCCAGAGUUUGUUCAGCCUACCAUUGAUAUAAGUU